CUCCACCUCUCCCUUUUGCCAGGAUCUCAGCAGCAUGUGGAGCAACAGAGACAAAGGAAUUACGUUGGAAGAAUUCAUGAGAAAACUUUGUAAGCCCGGCAUGAUGAAAAUUCACGUCAGUUAUUCAUGUUGUUCACCCUAAACAACAAGGAGUGCAGACAUCAAUCAGGAAAUUUACACCUCAAGAGAAAGAGCUGUGAUGUUUAGCAGCUGAAUGCAGAGACUUCAUUGGCUGAGUAGCGUCCCGUGGGAUGGCUGAACUCGUACGUAAUUGGUCUGUGUGUUUCCUGAGCUGCUAACUAAUGCCGUAAACACUGUUAUUAGAUAAAAGCACUAUUAUUAGAUAAUAAAGGCAAAAAAAAAACUUUUAAAAAGUUAUAUGAUUCUGAAAAUUAUGUUGCAGAUAAUUUAUGUGCUUUCACUGAUGCCUGGAAUGUUUUUGUCAGCAUGGGGAAAGAAAAGUGGAUUUGUUUGAAUGUCUGAAUGAUAAGAAAAUGUGGUUUUUUUUUGUUUUCUAUUGUGCUCUUUACUAGGAACUCAGGUGUUUGCUUUGUAAAUAUGAAUGCUGCACACAAACUGAUUUUGCUUUUAUUUAUGUUAUACAUUGUAACAUACAUUUGGCUGGUGGAAGUCUGAGAGAAGAGAAAUUAGAGAUUUAUUUUUUUUCUUUUUUGCUCUUGUAUAUGUAUUAGGGGAAGAUGUGAGUUUUGUGCUACUGUGGUCUGUCUUUUAAAUUACAUAGACACCUUGUGCAUGCAUCACUUACAGAAAAUACAGUGUUUAAGGCUAUAACUUACAGAAAAUCCAUUCUAUAAGGCUAUAACUUGAAGGGAAAAAAAACAUUAUUUGAGGCUGGAACUUGCAGAAUAUACAUUGUUUAGCACUAUAACCUAUGUAAAAUAUAUUCUUUAAGGCUAUAACUUGCAGAAAAUGCAUUAUUUAAGGCUAUAACUUGCAGAAACAACAUUGUUUUGGGCUAUGAGUUGCAGGAAAUAUAUUCAUUAAGGCCAUAAUUUGCAGAAAAUGUAUUCUUUAGGGCCAUAACUUGCAGAAAACAUAUUAUUUAGGGCAAUAACUCACAGAAAAUAUAUUCUUUUAAGCUAUAACUUGCAGAAAAUAUAUUCUUUAAGGCUGUAACCUGCAGAAAACACAUUAUUUGAGGCUAUAACUUACAGAAAACAUAUUAUUUAAGGCUAUAACUUGCAGAAAACUUAAUAUUUAAUGCUUUAAAUUUCAGAAAAUACAUUGUUUAGGGCUAUAACUUUCAGAAAAUACAUUCUUUAGGCCUAUAAGUUGCAGAAAAUAUAUUCUUUAAGGCUACAACUUGCAGAAAAUAUCUUCUUUAAGGAUAUAACUUGCAGGAAAAAACAUUCUUUAAGCCUAUAACUUGAAGAAAAUACAUUCUUUAGAGCUAUAAUUUGCAGAAAAUACAUUCUUUAAGGCUAUACCUUGCAAAAAACACAUUAUUUAAGGGUGUAACUUACAGAAAAUAUGUUCUUUAAGGUUAUAAGUUGCAGAAAACACAUUAUUUAAGCUUAUAACUUACAAAAAUCACAUUAUUAAAUGGUAGAACUUGCACAACACACAUUCUUUAAGGCUAUAAGUUACAAAAAAUAUAUUCUUUAAUGCUAUAAUGGACAAAGUCUGGAAACACUCACUGUAUCG